UAUUUCCUGAAAUGUUCGUUUACCUUUUAUUUUGAACCUACAUUUUUUAAACGGGAUUCCUAUAUCCUAGCAAAUAUGUCAGGCCACAAGCUAAUUCCCUUUGGGCAGUGGAAGACAGCCUUUGCUUAUGCGGAAACCCACCUAGCUUUGCUAGGUGUCAAAAAUGGGGACCGGCAUUUCGGGUUUUUU
rnacentral:other from 1 species